rnacentral:lncRNA from 1 species
CACGACCGAUUUCUGCCGUUCAUCAUUGACGCGGAAGAGAGAGAGCGCGAAAGAGAGGGCGCGCGAGAGAGAGAGAGAGGAGGGAAGCUUGGAUCACACGUACUGUUACUUGGUUGGAGAUGGGUUGGAGAUGGAAGGGCAAAUUAGGCAUUCCGCCUAAUUAAUGGCUAAAAUUUGAUGUUUUAAGAUUUGAGGCUAAAAUUUGAUUUUGUAUGCCCAG